GAUGAUCCGGUGCUUGCGCCGGGGAUUAGUGGCGAACGGGUGAGUAACACGUGAGUAACCUGCCCUUGACUCUGGGAUAAGCCUGGGAAACUGGGUCUAAUACCGGAUAUGACUCCUCAUCGCAUGGUGGGGGGUGGAAAGCUUUUGCGGUUUUGGAUGGACUCGCGGCCUAUCAGCUUGUUGGUGAGGUAAUGGCUUACCAAGGCGACGACGGGUAGCCGGCCUGAGAGGGUGACCGGCCACACUGGGACUGAGACACGGCCCAGACUCCUACGGGAGGCAGCAGUGGGGAAUAUUGCACAAUGGGCGCAAGCCUGAUGCAGCGACGCCGCGUGAGGGAUGACGGCCUUCGGGUUGUAAACCUCUUUCAGUAGGGAAGAAGCGAAAGUGACGGUACCUGCAGAAGAAGCGCCGGCUAACUACGUGCCAGCAGCCGCGGUAAUACGUAGGGCGCAAGCGUUAUCCGGAAUUAUUGGGCGUAAAGAGCUCGUAGGCGGUUUGUCGCGUCUGCCGUGAAAGUCCGGGGCUCAACUCCGGAUCUGCGGUGGGUACGGGCAGACUAGAGUGAUGUAGGGGAGACUGGAAUUCCUGGUGUAGCGGUGAAAUGCGCAGAUAUCAGGAGGAACACCGAUGGCGAAGGCAGGUCUCUGGGCAUUAACUGACGCUGAGGAGCGAAAGCAUGGGGAGCGAACAGGAUUAGAUACCCUGGUAGUCCAUGCCGUAAACGUUGGGCACUAGGUGUGGGGGACAUUCCACGUUUUUCCGCGCCGUAGCUAACGCAUUAAGUGCCCCGCCCU
rnacentral:rRNA from 1 species